GACGAACGCUGGCGGCGUGCUUAACACAUGCAAGUCGAACGGUAAGGCCUUCGGGUACACGAGUGGCGAACGGGUGAGUAACACGUGGGUGAUCUGCCCUGCACUUUGGGAUAAGCCUGGGAAACUAGGUCUAAUACCGAAUAGGACCACGCGCUUCAUGGUGUGUGGUGGAAAGCUUUUGCGGUGUGGGAUGGGCCCGCGGCCUGUCAGCUUGUUGGGGGGGUAAUGGCCUAGCAAGGAGACGACGGGUAGCCGGCCUGAGAGGGUGACCGGCAACACUGGGACUGAGAUACAGCCCAGAGUCCUACGGGAGGCAGCAGUGGGGAAUAUUGCACAAUGGGCGCAAGCCGGAUGCAGCGACGCCGCGUGGGGGAUGACGGCCUUCGGGUUGUAAACCUCUUUCAGUAGGGACGAAGCGCAAGUGACGGUACCUAUAGAAGAAGGACCGGCCAACUACGUGCCAGCAGCCGCGGUAAUAC
rnacentral:rRNA from 1 species